rnacentral:rRNA from 1 species
GAUGAACGCUAGCGACAGGCCUAACACAUGCAAGUCGAGGGGCAGCACAUGAGUAGCAAUACGAUGGUGGCGACCGGCGCACGGGUGAGUAUCGCGUAUGCAACCUACCUUCCACAGGGGGCUAGCCUUCCGAAAGGGAGAUUAAUACCGCAUAAAACAGGGGCCCCGCAUGGGGAUAUUUGUUAAGGAUUUAUCGGUGGGAGAUGGGCAUGCGUGCCAUUAGCUAGUUGGCGGGGUAAUGGCCCACCAAGGCAGCGAUGGAUAGGGGAACUGAGAGGUUUAUCCCCCACACUGGAACUGAGACACGGUCCAGACUCCUACGGGAGGCAGCAGUGAGGAAUAUUGGUCAAUGGGCGGGAGCCUGAACCAGCCAAGUCGCGUGAAGGAAGACGGUUCUAUGGAUUGUAAACUUCUUUUGCACUGGGGUAAAACGGGGGGCGUGUCCCCCCUUGCAAGUACAGUGCGAAUAAGCAUCGGCUAACUCCGUGCCAGCAGCCGCCGUAA